UACAGAGGGUGCGAGCGUUGUUCGGAAUUAUUGGGCGUAAAGGGCGCGUAGGCGGUGCGGUAAGUCACCUGUGAAAUCUCCUGGCUCAACUGGGAGCUUGCAGGCGAAACUGCCGUGCUGGAGUGUGGGAGAGGUGCGUGGAAUUCCUGGUGUAGCGGUGAAAUGCGUAGAUAUCAGGAGGAACACCUGUGGCGAAAGCGGCGCACUGGACCACAACUGAUGCUGAGGCGCGAAAGCGUAGGGGAGCAAACAGG
rnacentral:rRNA from 1 species